rnacentral:rRNA from 1 species
GUGGAUUAGAUACCCGGGUAGUCCACGCCGUAAACGAUGGGGACUAGGUGCUUGGGGGAGCGACCCCCCGAGUGCCGGCGCUAACGCAUUAAGUCCCCCGCCUGGGGAGUACGACCGCAAGGUUGAAACUCAAAGGAAUUGACGGGGGCCCGCACAAGCGGUGGAGCAUGUGGUUUAAUUCGACGCAACGCGAAGAACCUUACCCAGGCUUGACAUGUACGAGAAAGCCUCUGGAAACAGGGGCCCCUCUUCGGAGCUCGUGCACAGGUGCUGCACGGCCGUCGCCAACU